CCGGUCCUCCUCCGGCUGCGGCGGGGAUCCUCUUCCCGCCCGGUAGACGGGCACCGCGGUGUGCAGCCGGCGGGGGUAAAACUUUGCCCGCUCCCUCCCCCUCCCCGCACCCCUCAGGGUUUCGGCUCGCUCCCCGGCGGCUUCUCCGGGGCGUCUCUUCUUUUCGCAGGCAAGAACCCCCAUUAGCUCGCCCCGAGGUGCGGGAUCGGGGAAGCGGUGAGACACUACUGUCGCGCCGAAGGAGCCGCGCUGAGCCCCCGCUAGUCUUUCUAAGGCUUGUCCAAACCCUCGCCUAGCGAGACCCCGACGAGGUUUUAAGGACGCCGUGACAAACUCUCGCCGACCCAGGAUACCCGCGGGUGGCACCGGGAGGGCCGUGCUGGAGUGUCCGCCGUCGGGGCUCCGUGGGUGAGGGGGACCCAGGAGCGGAUGGGGUCCCCUCCGGCUGCCUGUCAAGCGGCGCUUUACCGUGAGAGGUCCUCGCGUUUGCGUGGAUAUGCGUGUAAUUGGGUGCUCUUACAGCUCGGAUUUCAUUCGGAUUAAUUAGGUAGGGGGUCUGCGUGAAACAUUAGCACCUAUUUAACAUGCAUUGGCGGAGAGCAUUGAAAUUAUGCUUCAGGCUUGAAUUUUAUCUACAUUUCUCUGUCUCUUUGCAAGUAACAGUAAAGAGCUGCUGCCUCGCAGUACUCAGUUGCUCUCCUUUGGGAGUUCAAGUGUUCAGUCUCCUCGUGAGAGCAGCUGAAAGGACAGGAAGGUCUGAGGACGAUGAAGGCAACGUCAGUGCCCUCUUUUGGUAGGGCAUUGGUGAAAGAAGCCCUCUCUGGGCUGCCCGGCUGCAAUGCCCUCAUGCAGUAGAAGUAGAUCCACGAAGUAGUAAUCAAAAGAUGAAGAGGUAAGGGGGAAGAAGUCCUUCAAAAAUGGAGAAAUGGGAGAGGAAGGAAGGGCAAGUUCUCAAGAAGAAAGCUAAGUUUGCCCAAGAGAAGAGGCAAAAAAGGAAGGAAAGGAAGAAGAGGGGAAGUUAAAUAGAAGUUUUAAAAAGCAAAUAGAUGACAGAAAAAGGAUGUGUUGAGGGAGAGCUGAGAGGGAGAUACUGUGGUCUAAGGAAGGAGAUGAGGUGGGGCUUGGGGCAUGGGACACUUGGAAGUUACAGGAGUUUAAUCCGAUCAAGACUCAGAGUAGGGCAGCAAAGAUGCAGAACAUUACUUUUUCCAUGUGGGAAAGCCAGCUGCCAGGGCUUUGACCACCAAGUAUCUUCACUUGUGGGAGCAAAAUGGAAAAUCGGGUUAAUCUGAUGUUUUGCUGACGUUUUGUAACAAGCAGCUUGUUUGUCUCCUUCUUUUUUCCUUUUUUCUUUUUUUUUUUUUUUUUUUGGAGGGGGGGCGUGGGAGAGAGGUGAAAACAGCUCUGAAAGAUCAUGGAAAAAUAAAAUAAGCCUGAAUGAAGUUGA